AUUGAACGCUGGCGGCAGGCCUAACACAUGCAAGUCGAACGGUAACAGGAAGAAGCUUGCUUAUUUGCUGACGAGUGGCGGACGGGUGAGUAAUGUCUGGGAAACUGCCUGAUGGAGGGGGAUAACUACUGGAAACGGUAGCUAAUACCGCAUAACGUCGCAAGACCAAAGAGGGGGACCUUCGGGCCUCUUGCCAUCGGAUGUGCCCAGAUGGGAUUAGCUAGUAGGUGGGGUAACGGCUCACCUAGGCGACGAUCCCUAGCUGGUCUGAGAGGAUGACCAGCCACACUGGAACUGAGACACGGUCCAGACUCCUACGGGAGGCAGCAGUGGGGAAUAUUGCACAAUGGGCGCAAGCCUGAUGCAGCCAUGCCGCGUGUAUGAAGAAGGCCUUCGGGUUGUAAAGUACUUUCAGCGGGGAGGAAGGGAGUAAAGUUAAUACCUUUGCUCAUUGACGUUACCCGCAGAAGAAGCACCGGCUAACUCCGUG
rnacentral:rRNA from 1 species